rnacentral:lncRNA from 1 species
GCUAUUGUUCCUGAGCUGGCACUGUUUGAAUUGGUUCUUGUUUACCCUUCUGAACCUACAUCCAUCAGGCUGUCAGUGCAGACGUCCACAUUUACAUAACUAAUGGCGAUCCUGCUUGGUGUCAUUUCAGUUGCCGCCAUGACUGGAGAUCUCGUUUAUACACUGGUGACCUUCCAAAUUCAGCGUCUAUUAAUUCAAUCCCUGGGUCCUUCAAGUUCAAACUGCAAAAUUUCUGUUCUUUCAAUGAGUAACUGCAAACUCAAACUGGAUGUUCAUAGUGCGAAGAAAGACCCUUGCAAUACAAAGGUGAUUUGAAGGCUGAAUCGAGAGAUGUUUAGGGCUCCAGUGGUCCUAAUGUUGUUGAAUUCAAUAGAAGCCUGUCAGUAGCACUUGAUGCAGCAGAUCUCCGUUCUUCUCUUUGUUAUCAGGAUAUCAGCCACUCUUCCUUUUUGCUGUCUGUUAUGGUUCAUUACCAUGUCCCUUGCUGGAUACUCCUCCCAUAUAUUUCCAAAUGCUGUAAUG